GAGGUUCCUGCUAUGCCAGAAACCCUUAAAAAGCGAAGGAAUUUCCCAGAGUUGAAGAUCAAAGGCCUGAGAAAGAAGUUUGCCCAAAAGAUGCUUCAAAAGGCAAGGAGGAAACUUACCUAUGAAAAAGUGAAACACUAUCACAAGGAAUAUAGGCAGGUGUACAGAACUGAAAUUCAAACGGCUAGGACGGCCAGAAAAGCUGGCAACUUCUAUGUACCUGCAAAACCCAAAUUGACAUUUGUCAUCGGGAUCAGUAUCAGUGGUGUGAGCCCAAAGGUCCAAAAGGUGUUGAAGCUUCUUCGCCUUUGUCAAAUCUUCAAUGGAACCUUUGUGAAGCUCAACAAGGCUUCAGUGAACAUGCUGAGGAUUGUAGAACCAUAUAUGGCAUGGGGGUACCCAAAUCUGAAGUCAGUAAAUGAACUAAUCUAUCAGCGUGGUUAUGGCAAAAUCAGUAAGAACCGUGGAAUGAAGAAAAAGACCAUCCAUUUUGUUGAAAGUGGACAUGCUGGCAACAGGGAGGACCAGAUCAACAGACUUCUUAGAAGAAUGAACUAA